AUCAGUUAUGUCGUAUUAAUAUAGUUUUAAAACACCAGUUGUUUAAGCUUAAAAUUAUUUUAAUUUUAGAUUAAAUAGUUAUUGAAUCUUGUUUGGUAAUUCAGUUUCUUAGUCAUUGCAAACAGCCAACAGUGCUCCAUUGGAAUCAAGCUAGAAAGUGAAUGUUAUCUUGCAACAUAUACAUUGUUGCUUAGAAUCAAAUCUUUUGAAGAUAUUCCUGAAUAUGAAAGAGAUUGGGCUAUCAAUAAUCAAUGUCAAACUAACAACUUGUCUCCAUUAUAAACAUGUUUAUUUGAAGCGUUAUGCACCUAAAUUAACACGGUGUUGCAAUCCAUUCAAUAGUUAUAACAAAGUUAUAAAAGGCAAUCUUCGUGAAAUCAACUUGGAUACAGCAACGUAUUUAUGCAGUAAAGUUAAAUUCGUAGUGCCAGGCGAAAAACUUUGUCCAUAAUGCAGACAUAAAUUAGCAUCAAUUAAAGAAUCAGAAGGGAACAAGUUUGAGAUAAAAUUAACUGAAGAUAGUAUGGAAAAAGAAAUUAUACUCAAAUCAAUAAGAUCAUUGCUUAACAGUACUUUUUGUGAACUUGAAGUAUCUCCACUAAAAGUUUAUUUACCAAAAACCUCUAACAAGCCUUCACUUGGAAAGAGAAAGAGAAAGCAAGUUGAAGAAGCAGUUAUUAAGAAACUUGCAACUGCUUUGGAUGUCACCAAGUGCGAUCUAAAGUUCUAAAGGAAAUUCAAACCAAAGCUUGCAAUUUAGACUUCCUUGUUGAAUGCAUGAAAUAAAAGCUUAAAGUCUCUAAUAGAAGGCAGUAACUUCAAAUUUUGAUAUUGACCCCAAAAUCUUGGUCUAUCAGAAAAGCAGCAAAAGAUUUUUCAGUUUCCAAACACAAAAUUCAAACUGCAAAGCUUUUGCGUGACCUAAAAGGCAUCUUAGCAUACCCUAAUGUGGUUGAACAGCAUCAAAUCAGUAAAGAUGUUAUAGAACUUGUAAAGCAUUUUUACUGUGACGAUGAGUAUUCAAGGCAAAUGCCAGGUAAAAAAGAGUGUGUAAGUGUUAGGAAAAAAAAAUACAUGUCAAAAAAAUUAAUUUUGUGUAACUCAAAGGAGCUCUAUGUGGCAUAUAAGAUUAAAUACCCAGACCAUAAAAUUAGAUUUUCAAAAUUUUGCAAUUUUUGGCCUAAAUGGUGCAUCCUUGCUGGUCCAAAAGAUACACAUUCUGUUUGUGUGUGUUCAGUACACCAAAAUGUUAAAUAAAUAUUGAAUGCUGUAGGCCUUGAAACAUCUUACCAUGAAAUUAUUGAAAAGAUUGUCUGCAGCAGAAAAUCGAAAGCUUGCAUGAUUCACUGAUGCAAUAGUUGUCCUGGCAUACAAGCCGCAUAAAGUUAUUUCCAGCAGUAUCUCACACAAAAUGAUGAUCCAAAAGAGCAAUAUGACAGUGACAAAAAUGAACAGUUUGUGGAUUUCAAACAGUGGACAACGACAGAUAGGACCAAACUAAUAACAAUAAAACUUCCCUUAAAUGAAUUCAUAGAACUCCUGUCUGAAAAACUUGAUAAAAUUGCUUCUCAUUCAUUUAUAGCAAAAUCACAAUCUAGCUAUCUAAAACAUCUCAAAGAAACAAUUAGUAUUGAUGAGGCUAUUGUACUAGCAGAUUUUGCAGAGAAUUACACUUUUGUAGUACUAGGUGAGAUACAGAGUUACCAUUGUCAGUCAAUGUACUCUUCAUCCAGUUGUCAUCUACUACAAGAAAGUGAAAUUGGAAAUAUUUUCUUUUUGUGUAAUUUCAGAUGAUUUGAAUCAUGAUGUUGGAUUUAUCAAUGAAGAUAUGCAUAAAACCAUUAAUCAUAUAAAAACUCAUCCUUCAAUUACAAAAAUUCAUUAUUUUUCUGAUGGCUGUGCAGGGCAGUAUAAAAAUUGCAAACAUUUCUACAAUUUAUUUCACCAUGCUCAAGAUUUUUCUGUUUGGAGCAUCUGGAAUUUCUUUGCAACAAGCCAUGGUAAAUCUCCAUGCGAUGGAAUAGGUGGCACUGUUAAAAGACUCGUUGUAACUGCUAGCUUGCAGAGUCCAAUCACAGGUCAAAUACUGUUUUCUCAAGCAAUGUUUGAAUACUGUCAAAAGUUAAUCAGUGGGAUUAUGUUUGUGUACGUCCCUGCUGAAGAAAUGGAGAAUCAAACUUACUGAUAGACUUUAAAUACCAACCGCUAUUCCUGGGACAAGAAGUUUCCUUCGAUUUAUACCUUCUUAUUCAAUUAUAAAAAUGAAAAAGGUAUCUGAUGAUGAUUUUGCUCUAACAUUUGACUUUUAUAAACAAAAAUAUGAAAUUAAUAAAGUUGACAAUGUAAUGAUGUCACAAUACCUAUUUUGCAAAUAUGAUGAUUUUUACUUCUGGGCAUCAGCACUACAUCUCAAAAAGAAGAUGAAAUUCUAUUUGAACAGCUUUUACUCUGUCAGUGAAAGUUGAUGAAUAUUUUACUUUUUUUAUUUAAAUGAUGUAAACUUCAAUUUUAGUAAUAUUUUGUUAUUCCUUUUUC
rnacentral:lncRNA from 1 species